rnacentral:rRNA from 1 species
UACGUAGGGUGCGAGCGUUAAUCGGAAUUACUGGGCGUAAAGCGUGCGCAGGCGGUUUUGUAAGCCAGAUGUGAAAGCCCCGGGCUUAACCUGGGAAUGGCAUUUGGGACUGCAAGGCUUGAGUGCGGCAGAGGAGACUGGAAUUCCUGGUGUAGCAGUGAAAUGCGUAGAUAUCAGGAGGAAUACCGAUGGCGAAGGCGGCUCACUGGACCGGAACUGACGCUGAGGCGCGAAAGCGUGGGGAGCAAACGGG